GAUGAACGCUGGCGGUCUGCUUAACACAUGCAAGUCGAACGGACCCUUCGGGGUUAGUGGCGGACGGGUGAGUAACGCGUGAGAAUCUGCCUUCAGGUCUGGGACAACAGAAGGAAACUUCUGCUAAUCCGGGAUGAGCCUUUUGGUAAAAGAGAAAUUGCCUGGAGAUGAGCUCGCGUCUGAUUAGCUAGUUGGUGAGGUAAAAGCUUACCAAGGCGACGAUCAGUAGCUGGUCUGAGAGGAUGAGCAGCCACACUGGGACUGAGACACGGCCCAGACUCCUACGGGAGGCAGCAGUGGGGAAUCUUGGACAAUGGGGGCAACCCUGAUCCAGCCAUGCC
rnacentral:rRNA from 1 species